rnacentral:rRNA from 1 species
UACGAAGGGGGCUAGCGUUGUUCGGAAUUACUGGGCGUAAAGCGCGCGUAGGCGGCUUUGCAAGCCAGAGGUGAAAUGCCUGAGCUCAACUUGGGAAUUGCCUUUGGGACUGCGAGGCUUUGAGGACGGGAGAGGUGAGUGGAAUUCCCAGUGUAGAGGUGAAAUUCGUAGAUAUUGGGAAGAACACCGGUGGCGAGGGCGGCUCACUGGCCCGUUUCUGACGCUGCAGCGCGAAAGCGUGGGGAUCAAACAGG